GACGAACGCUGGCGGCGGGCUUAACACAUGCAAGUCGAACGGAAAGGCCCUGCUUUUGUGGGGUGCUCGAGUGGCGAACGGGUGAGUAACACGUGAGUAACCUGCCCUUGACUUUGGGAUAACUUCAGGAAACUGGGGCUAAUACCGGAUAGGAGCUCCUGCUGCAUGGGGGGGGUUGGAAAGUUUCGGCGGUUGGGGAUGGACGCGCGGCUUAUGAGCUUGUUGGGGGGGUAGUGGCUUACCAAGGCUUUGACGGGUAGCCGGCCUGAGAGGGUGACCGCCCACAUUGGGACUGCGAUACGGCCCAGACUCCUACGGGAGGCAGCAGUGGGGAAUAUUGCACAAUGGGCGGAAGCCUGAUGCAGCAACGCCGCGUGCGGGAUGACGGCCUUCGGGUUGUAAACCGCUUUCGCCUGUGACGAAGCGUGAGUGACGGUAAUAGGUAAAGAAGCACCGGCUAACUACGUG
rnacentral:rRNA from 1 species